rnacentral:ncRNA from 2 species
AGUAACAGGCAGGGGUGCUGAACAGAAAUGUUUGGCUGAGAAGAGACCCUUACCACCUGAAGCGGACAAUACCGACGCAGGGAGCCAUGACAAUUCUACC